CAGGAAAUCACAACACUAGUCCUGGAGCCGCCUGUUUAAUGCUCAGCAGUCUCCUCUGAAGCUAAUAUUUUCUCUUUUGUAACCGUCAGUGCAAGUUUGUUUCACCGUUACAUUUACAUUUUGUUCCGUUUCAGACAUUUUAAAGGGUUCAGUUUGUGGCCGACGUUCAUUUCACCGUCAGAAUGAAGUACAUGAAGCUAAGAUGUUAGCUUGUCCCUUUUACUGUUAUGGUUUUAACCACCUGUAAGCUAGCGUACCUUACCUGGCAACCGAUAAUAGAAUCAGGUCGACAAACACUUUCAGCUCAGAGAGACAGAACUGUGUUACACAUGAACUCGUCAGUCUUUGUUCAGCUGAUUCAGUGUAGCACAAAAGGAAAUGCCUGUUUAAGCGAAUCACUCCUGCUCUGUGGAAGAAAAGCGAACGUCACACUAUUGUGUGUGUGUGUGUGUGUGUGUGGGCGCAUGUUUCUGUUUGUGCGUUUAGGGGUGACACUCCCUGAGGUGAAAAAGGAAAACGAUAAUAUCAGUCUGACCUCUGGGGAAACACCAAUGCUGCAAGCCAAGCUGACCGGUCAGCUGACUCUGAACUUCCUGAGGAGGAUCCACCAUGGAGCCUCUUGCCCUUGUCUUUACUCACUGUCAGACUACUGCACAAAGAAGAAAGAAGGGACCAGGACUAAACAUGGUCUCCGCUCAGACUCCAGUGUGUCAAGAAGAGCGUUUCACAGCCAGGGUGUAUUCGGCCCCUCGGUCAGCCCGCGCGAAACUCAGCACCAUGGGAGAAGAUCAUUCAGUCUAUCAGCUGCUACGAUUGUGAACUCAGCACCAGCUCCUGUCAAGCCAUACCUCCAACUGAUGAGGCUGGACAAGCCUAUUGGGACGUGGCUGCUGUACCUCCCGUGUACGUGGAGCAUUGCUCUGGCUGCCGACCCUGGAUGCCUUCCAGAUCUGGGCAUGCUCACUCUGUUUGGUGCAGGUGCUGUGCUAAUGAGAGGAGCAGGCUGCACCAUCAAUGACAUGUGGGAUAAAGACUUUGACAAAAAGGUGUCCAGGACAGCCACUCGACCCAUUGCCUCCGGGGCGGUUUCUCGGAUGCAGGCGCUAGUCUUCCUGGGAGGGCAGCUCUCUCUUGGACUCGGCGUUCUCUUGUGUCUCAACUAUUACAGCAUAGCUCUGGGCGCUGCUUCGUUAUCUCUUGUUGUCACCUACCCGCUGAUGAAGAGGAUCACGUAUUGGCCACAGUUGGUGCUAGGCCUCACAUUUAACUGGGGGACGCUGCUCGGCUGGUCUGCUGUUCAGGGCUCCUGUGAUUGGUCCGUGUGCCUCCCGCUGUAUUUCUCUGGAGUGAUGUGGACGCUGAUAUACGACACUAUAUAUGCUCACCAGGAUAAGGAGGACGACGUUAAAGUAGGAGUCAAAUCUACUGCACUGAGGUUCCAGGAGCAAACCAAACCUUGGCUGAGUGGCUUCACGGUGGCCAUGAUGUCAGGACUGGUUGUAGCUGGGAUCAAUGCUGAACAGACUCUCCCUUACUAUGCUGUUCUGUCCACAGUGGCCAUCCACCUAUCACACCAGAUUUACACAUUGGACAUCAAUAAGCCAGAAGACUGCUGGAAGAAAUUUGUCUCCAACAGAAACCUUGGACUGUUGUUAUUUUUAGGCAUUAUUGCUGGAAAUUUGUGGAAAGGAAGAAGAGAGACUUUGCUGCAAAACGAGGAAGGCACUCAGAUAAGUGAGAUUAUCAAUACAUAGCAUAUUUUGGUAUUUUCGAGAAAUCAAAAAGGUCAUAUCUUAACUCACUCAGGAGAGUAUAGUUCUUACCCAUAAAACCUAAUUUACAUUUACCUAAUUUACAGUUGAUGACCUAAAAAUCCCAUUUAACUGUAUUUUGAAAUGAAAUAAUACACAUUUAGCAUAUAUAAUGAACUUCUGUAUUUAAGUACCCAAAUAAUGUGGAUGAUUGUUGAAAUGCAAAAAAAAAACAAGUAAAAAAUCCAAACUUAAAUAACUGGUGAAACUUAAAACACGUGUUGCCCACUGUUGGUAAAAACACCUUGAACCUGCACCAAAUAACCACCAGGGAGCAGUGUGGUUCAUUAGAUUCAAUUGAGGAAUGUCCUGGAAAGUCAUUGGUCCAACAACUGUCUGAGCUUGUUAAAUAGAGAAUGCCUACUACGGGGUUAUGGUUUUUAUGAGGGGGUGGUAACCAUGACUGCUAGAGUAGUCGCACCCAUUCACUCUAAUUGCAGUCUGCAGAAUCCAAACCACUGGAGGUAAGAGGCUACAAGCUGCGUAGACCUGCAGCGCUUGGUGCAUUUAAAACGCCAUGUGUUGCUCUCGCUCAUAAAUGAUCCAUUGCUACAUGUUCACUGAAUAAUAUGGCUAAUAAUAUAAGAUUGUAUUACAAUUACCAUUAUACCCGCAACCUCAUCAUCUACUGUCCUCCCGGUUCUACAAAACUAUUAGCUGCACAAUCAACAACAAAGAAUAGAAAUUCAGAAAUACAAUAAAGUCACAUGAUCGCAGGUUUCCCAUGUUGAGAGUAACAGAACAAAACAAGCCUUUCAUAUUAUAGUAGAGUUGCUAAAUCACAAAUAUGUAGGUGCAAGGGUUUGUUAACACAGCUACUGUAGUAGUCUAGCUCACUAUGUUGAGUUUUAAUAUUAUAAGUAGAAUAAUAUUACAAAGGGGAAACAGACCAAUGAAUGUAACAGACAAAAGUCUCAAGCCGGACAUAUUUCUUAAUUCUACAGCUAUAACAACACACGUAACAAUCAUUUGAGUGUUGAUCCAGCCCAAACACGUGUAUAGCAGCUUCCUCCAUGCUGAAGAAAGUUUUGGGUGCAGGUAACUGUGUAUGUAGUAGUCUGCUAUCACUGCUGAUGCCCAGGUCGAAAACCCCACAAAAUGACCCAAGUGCAAGCCAUGCCACCACAGUGAAAAACCAAAAGUUGCGAACAACGGGAAAUGUUUGCUUCUUAGAUAAACCAGCCGACGCAGCCACGAAGCUGUCGUGGCGUUCCAUCGGCGGGCAAACUGCGACAUGCGGCUCGACGCCUCGGUCCUCCAGAAAUCUCCGUCAGUCAGUCCAGUCCACGCUCUGGAGUCUCCAGGUGAAUUUUCACCAAGUCCAAACCCAGCUGCGUUAUUGAGGCAUUCACUGAUCCUCCAGUGGGAGUAAUAUUGGAUCCUCAAAGCCAAUGCAAGACCCCAGACCCACAGGACGCCGUAAAGAGCAGUGGAACGAGUGGGAUCAUAGACGUUUUGUUUUAUAAGGUGAAUGAGAAAAAACCUCGCCAACUCCAGCAAUGACACCCUAAUCAACUUCAGGAAUACCACACCUAGUGGACUGGGUGCGAGGUUGAGGCCGAUUCCCUCCACGUGGGACACAAACUGGCUGUAGGAGCACAAAGGGCCACCGAGCAGCGUGGUGAAACUGAGGAUGUAGCCGAAGAGAGGGAGAAGCGUGACGCAACUCUUCAUGUUGGACGACGCAUCGAAUGUGAACUUAACUUGUUUCUCCUGGAGGUCCAUGGACACCGAGGUGAUUCUCUGAGUGAGCAGCAUCGAAGAGGACACUGCCAAGAACAAUCUGAAAGAACGAGGUGGACAUUUGAUAAAUAUAUAUGAUUCUUUUCUUUGUCAGAAAGAGAAGUAGAUUUAAAUGCCUGUGCAUUUAAUGUUUGUACCCGGUGCAUAAUGGCAUCCAGAAACGGGGGGUUAGAAGUUAAUUCUCAACAGUUGACUAUGAAAUUCCAUUUUAACGUCCAUUUAGCAUCUGUUUCUGGAGCUUUCGAUCAUAUCUCAAGGGUCAUUCUAGGUAUAGGGGGUCCUAGAACAGCUCAGCAGCAUGGGGAGCUUGAACAUUUCCAUGUCGGUGCUAAUUAAGAACAGACCUUUUUAAUCUGCUGAUGAGAACAUGUAAUGUGGUUGAAAGCUCCAGGGCCGUUUGUUUUGUGAAAUCCAAAAUAAUGAUAACAAUUUUUUCUUAUCCAAACAGAAAAUGUUAAAUUUCGUGGCCGACAAAAAGCUAGAAAUGUGUUUUUUUUUUCAUUGAGGUAAUAUUCCCAUGCUCUUUUGUUUCAUCAAUACUAAUGGUAUUAGUUAAACUCAUUUGCAGUAUCUCUCUUGUUUAUUAAUUUUCCGUCAUAAGGCUGGUGUUAUGCUAUAUAUUUGUUACUGUGAACAAUGUAAUUUUUUACCCACAAAAAGUUUAUUAUUCAUAACUGAUGCUGGAUACUCUGGCAAAGCAUGAAGGCGUCUGCGUACAAACCCUUUAACCAGGAGAUUAAUACCUGACGCUGACCGGCUCUUGCAGACAGUAUUCCCUGUACUGUAUGAUCAGGUGCCAGAGGGUUUGCAACAGCAUCUGGAUACCAAACGCCCAGAUGUGUAAGUUGCCGGAAUCCACAGAGCACAUGAGCAGAAUAAAGACAAAGGUGGAGGCGAACAGAAGCGAACUGUAGAUGCCCAUGGUGACGACUGCCAGGAUGCAUCCUCCAACAGACACAAAGAGCUAUCCCCCCAAUAUGUUGUUGGCCCUGCGGAGUGACUGUCCCUAUUAAAAACCGUCUGCAUCCCACCUCACUGGUCUGGCACCUCGCUCACCACCUGUUGCUCCGGCACUCUUCCACAAGGUCAACUUUCAGGUCCCGGCCUGGUGCUGUCGCUGUCCCUAGCAGGCCAGAGAAGGUGGCUCUGGCAAGCUGUUUGUUGGUUUUCUCCAGCCCUGAUGAAAGCUAUACGACCUUUAGGUCAUGGUACCAGUGGUACCCCCACCCCCCGAGGAUGAACACCAGCGACCUUCUCUUCAGGCAAAGAGGAAAGG